GAUGAACGCUAGCGGCAGGCCUAACACAUGCAAGUCGAGGGAGAAGCCCUUCGGGGCAGAAACCGGCGCACGGGUGCGUAACGCGUAUGCAACCUACCUUUCACAGGGGGAUAGCCCGAAGAAAUUUGGAUUAAUACCCCAUAAUAUUAUUGGAUGGCAUCAUUUGAUAAUUAAAAUUACGAUGGUGAAAGAUGGGCAUGCGUCCUAUUAGCUAGUUGGAGUGGUAACGGCACCCCAAGGCUACGAUAGGUAGGGGUCCUGAGAGGGAGAUCCCCCACACUGGUACUGAGACAGGGACCAGACUCCUACGGGAGGCAGCAGUGAGGAAUAUUGGUCAAUGGUCGGAAGACUGAACCAGCCAUGCCGCGUGCAGGAAGAAUGCCUUAUGGGUUGUAAACUGCUUUUAUAUGGGAAGAAUAAAGGUGUACG
rnacentral:rRNA from 1 species